AUUGAACGCUGGCGGCAGGCCUAACACAUGCAAGUCGAACGAGUGGCGGACGGGUGAGUAAUGUCUGGGAAACUGCCUGAUGGAGGGGGAUAACUACUGGAAACGGUAGCUAAUACCGCAUACCAUCGGAUGUGCCCAGAUGGGAUUAGCGAGUAGGUGGGGUAACGGCUCACCUAGGCGACGAUCCCUACCGGGGCUGAGAGGAUGACCAGCCACCAUGUGACUGAGACACGGCCCAGACUCCUACGGGAGGCAGCAGUGGGGAAUAUUGCACAAUGGGCGCAAGCCUGAUGCAGCCAUGCCGCGUGUAUGAAGAAGGCCGUCGGGUUGUAAAGUACUUUCAGCGGGGAGGCGUUACCCGCAGAAGAAGCACCGGCUAACUCCGUGCCAGCAGCCGCGGUAAUAC
rnacentral:rRNA from 1 species